CCCUGUGUCACUCACGUGGUGUCACCGUACCCUCCCCUCCCCGUGACGUCACCCCCACACCGUGACAUCACCGCUUCUCCCACCCCUGGGUGAGGGCAGGAGGUGACACCCAAAUUCCGGGGUGCCCUGAAACCUGUGUCCCCUCGGGCGGGGGUGACACCCAGGGGUGGCACCCGAAUUCCAGGGUGCCCUGAGACACCUGAGUCCCCCGGGUGAAGACAGGAGAGCCUCCCCCCUCAUGGUGGACACGGGGGACAGGGGGCGGCGCAGCCCCCCCAGGCUGGCACAGCACCGGCGGGACCUGGAGGAGGAGCUGCGGGACCUCAGCAACCAGGUGGCGGCGCUGGGGCGGAGCCUGGCGGCAGAGAGAGGGCGUGGCCUGGCAGAGGGCGGGGCCC